rnacentral:snRNA from 1 species
AGGUGUGAGGGUGAUCUGGCUGUGACACUUGUCACCCCAGUGAUCGCUAGGGAAGAUUUUGCUGAUUUUAUUGGAUAGGUGGGUGUCCUCUUCCAUCCUCACCACUGUGUGUGCAUUCCUCCUGUAGCUGUCUGUUCAGUCUAAGAGGAUAACCUUCCUGGAACAGAGUAGUUGUACUCCCCUGCUAGAACUUCCAAGAAAACACUCAAGGCACACAACAAUGGCACUGGACUAGUGGAAUAACCACCAACUGGGGAGUGAGUUUCAGAGGUUCUAGUCCCCUCUUU